rnacentral:lncRNA from 1 species
AUGAAUUACAACGCCGAAGACGCUGGAAAACGCCAGGAAAACUGGAAAAUAUGAUUUAUUAGUUUAUGUGGAGUAGUGUCCCAUGUAACAGUAAGAUUGUUUUCCUGUCCACGUUCGAGGUCAGACAUGAUUGGUUUGACAGAAUCUAUUUAUGUUUUCUGGACUGGUUCGGGAUGGCUAGUUUAAAUCGGAUUGUUUUGGCAGAAUCUGUUGAUGGUUUUUGGACUGGUUCGGGAUGGCUAGUUUUAA